UGCGUAGGCGGAAUAUUAAGUCAGUGGUGAAAUCCUGCGGCUCAACCGUAGAACUGCCAUUGAUACUGAUAUUCUUGAAUGUAGUUGAGGUAGGCGGAAUGUGUAAUGUAGCGGUGAAAUGCUUAGAUAUUACACAGAACACCGAUUGCGAAGGCAGCUUACUAAACUAUGAUUGACGCUGAGGCACGAAAGCGUGGGGAGCGAACAGGAUUAAUACCCUGGUAGUCC
rnacentral:rRNA from 1 species